GAUGAAGAACGCAGCGAAAUGCGAUACUUGGUGUGAAUUGCAGAAUUCCGUGAAUCAUCGAGUCUUUGAACGCACAUUGCGCCCCCUGGUAUUCCGGGGGGCAUGCCUGUCCGAGCGUCAUUGCUGCCCAUCAAGCACGGCUUGUGUGUUGGGUCCCGUCCCCCUCUCCCGGGGGACGGACCCGAAAGGCAGCGGCGGCACCGCGUCCGGUCCUCGAGCGUAUGGGGCUUUGUCACCCGCUCUUGUAGGCCCGGCCGGCGCUUGCCGACACCCAACCAUUUUUUUCAGGUUGACCUCGGAUCAGGUAGGGAUACCCGCUGAACUUAAGCAUAUCAAUAAGCGGAGGA
rnacentral:misc_RNA from 1 species